rnacentral:lncRNA from 1 species
UUUUGUUGAAGUUUCGAUGACCUCUUUUUUGUUAUCCGCAAUUUUGUCUGGACCGCUUCUUUGAAGCUUUUCGGUCCACCGGGAUAACCUGUUUUUUUCCUAAGUCCUCUUUUGUGACGUCCGACUUAGCAGGCUUUUCUUUUUUUAAUUAUUUUUUGAAAGGUUGUGGCUGCCAUGUUAUUGGUGGAUGAGGAUCAACCAAUAUAAUUUC